AUUGAACGCUGGCGGCAGGCCUAACACAUGCCAGUCGAGCGGAGCGGCGGACGGGUGCGUAAUGCCUCGGAAUCUGCCUGGUAGUGGGGGAUAACGUCCGGGAACGGGCGCUAAUACCGCAUACUAUCAGAUGAGCCUAGGUCGGAUUAGCUAGUUGGUGGGGUAAAGGCCUACCAAGGCGACGAUCAGUAGCGGGUCUGAGAGGAUGAUCCGCCACACUGGGACUGAGACACGGCCCAGACUCCUACGGGAGGCAGCAGUGGGGAAUUUUGGACAAUGGGCGCAAGCCUGAUCCAGCCAUGCCGCGUGUCUGAAGAAGGCCUUCGGGUUGUAAAGGACUUUUGUCAGGGAAGCGGUACCUGAAGAAUAAGCACCGGCUAACUACGUGCCAGCCGCCGCGGUAAUAC
rnacentral:rRNA from 1 species